UUCCCCUUCGGGGGCAGGAUCACAGGUGGUGCAUGGCUGUCGUCAGCUCGUGUCGUGAGAUGUUGGGUUAAGUCCCGCAACGAGCGCAACCCCCGUCGCAUGUUGCCAGCAUCUAGUUGGGGACUCAUGCGAGACUGCCGGUGACAAACCGGAGGAAGGUGGGGAUGACGUCAAGUCAUCAUGCCCCUUAUGUCCAGGGCUACACACGUGCUACAUUGGCGCGUACAGAGGGCUGCGAUACCGCGAGGUGGAGCGAAUCCCUUAAAGCGCGUCUCGGUUCGGAUUGCAGGCUGAAACUCGCCUGCAUGAAGGCGGAGUUGCUAGUAAUCGCGGAUCAGCACUGCCGCGGUGAAUACGUUCCCGGGCCUUGUACACACCGCCCGUCACACCAUGGGAGUGAGCAACACCCGAAGCCGGUGGCCUAACCCGCAAGGGAGGGAGCCGUCGAAGGUGGGGCUCGUGACUGGGGUGAAGUCGUAACAAGGUAGCCGUAAUCG
rnacentral:rRNA from 1 species